rnacentral:rRNA from 1 species
UGUAAAAUUUUAAAGGUCGAACAGACCUAAAAUCCUAGCUUCUACACCAAAACUUAAUUUUAAUCCAACAUCGAGGUCGCAAACUUUUUUAUCGAUAAGAACUCUCCAAAAAAAAUUACGCUGUUAUCCCUAAGGUAAUUUAGUCUUAUAAUCCAAAUAAUAGGAUCAAAUAUUCAUAAAUAAAUGUUACAAACAAAAAAAAGUUUAUCAAAUUUUUCCAUCGCCCCAAUGAAAUAUUUGAUUGAAAAUAAAAGAAUAAAUUCAACAACCAAUAAAUUCAACCAAAUAUAAAACUCUAUAGGGUCUUCUCGUCUUUAUAAAAAAUUUAAGCUUUUUCACUUAAAAUUGAAGUUCUAAAUCAUUUAUAUAGAGACAGUUAUUUUCUCAUCAAACCUUUCAUUCCAGCUUUCAAUCAAAAAACUAAUGAUUAUGCUACCUUUGCACAGUCAAAAUACUGCGGCCAUUCAAAAAUCAUUGGGCAGGCCAGACUUUAAAUCAAAAUCAAAAAGAC